rnacentral:rRNA from 1 species
CCUACGGGAGGCAGCAGUGGGGAAUAUUGCACAAUGGGGGAAACACUGAUGCAGCGACGCCGCGUGAGUGAAGAAGUAUUUCGGUAUGUAAAGCUCUAUUAGCAGGGAAGAAAAUGACGGUACCUGAUUCAUAAGCCCCGGCUAACUACGUGCCAGCAGCCGCGGUAAUACGUAGGGGGCAAGCGUUAUCCGGAUUUACUGGGUGUAAAGGGAGCGUAGACGGCAGCGCAAGUCUGAAGUGAAAUGCCGGGGCUUAACCCCGGAACUGCUUUGGAAACUGUGCAGCUAGCGUGCAGGAGAGGUAAGUGGAAUUCCUAGUGUAGCGGUGAAAUGCGUAGAUAUUAGGAGGAACACCAGUGGCGAAGGCGGCUUACUAGACUGUAACUGACGUUGAGGCUCGAAAGCGUGGGGAGCAAACAGGAUUAGAUACCCUAGUAGUC